CAUAGUGUAGUGUUGGCUAGCAUUUCUGCCUUUCAUGCAGGAGAGACAGGUUCAAUUCCUGUAUCUGGAAGG
rnacentral:tRNA from 2 species